rnacentral:rRNA from 1 species
GGGUUUAAAUUUUUAAGUCUAUCUGCUCAAUGAAUAAUUUUAAAUAGCUGCAGUAUAAAUAACUGUACAAAGGUAGCAUAAUAAUUUGUUUUUUAAUUAAAAACUAGAAUGAAUGAUUAAAUGAAAUAUAGACUAUAUCAAACUUAAAAAAUAAAUUUAUUAUUUAAAUAAAAAAAUUUAAAUAACUUUUAAAGACGAGAAGACCCUAAAGAAUUUAAAUAAUAAUUUAAAAUAAUAAUUUAUAAAUUAUUAUAUUAAUUGGGGAAAUUUUAAAAUUUAAAAAAUUUUUAAUUAAAUAAACAUAUAUUUUUGAAUAUAUAAAAUUUUUUAAAAAAUUAAAUUAAAUUACCUUAGGGAUAACAGCAUAAUUUUUUUAAAAAGUUCAAAUUUAUAAAAAAGUUUAUGACCUCGAUGUUGAAUAAGGUG